ACGAACGACGCCGCGUGGUGUAUGAAGGCCCUCGGGUUGUAAACACCUGUCGUAGGGGAGGAAAUUUUGACCGAUCCUAGGAGGAAGCACAGGCUAAGUUCGUGCCAGCAGCCGCGGUAAUACGAACUGCGCAAACGUUAUUCGGAAUCACUGGGCUUAAAGGGUGCGUAGGCGGAUUUGUAGGUCAGAUGUGAAAUCCCACGGCUCAACCGUGGAACUGCGUUUGAAACCACAAGUCUUGAGGGGAUCAGAGGAGAGCGGAACUGAUGGUGGAGCGGUGAAAUGCGUUGAUAUCAUCAGGAACACCGGUGGCGAAAGCGGCUCUCUGGGAUCCUUCUGACGCUGAGGCACGAAAGCUAGGGGAGCGAACGGGAUUAGAUACCCCGGUAGUCCUAGCUGUAAACGAUCUGUACUAGUCCGUGGGGGCUCCCACACCCUCUCGGACGUAGCGAAAGUGUUAAGUACAGCGCCUGGGGAGUAUGGUCGCAAGGCUGAAACUCAAAGGAAUUGACGGGGGCUCACACAAAUCG
rnacentral:rRNA from 1 species